rnacentral:lncRNA from 1 species
UUCGGCGCGGAGGAUGAGACGCUAUGUAUCUGGGUUUUGACGAGCUUCAUAUCAGCUUCCGCCUUGGCUAGGGAGGCUCGGAUCUUAGUUAGUUCGUCUUCUCUUUCAGAUUCUUCGACCCACCUUGCGUUUUCCUCAGCUUCUUCAUCGUCAGUGAGAUCUGUUCGCUCGGCGGAGUUAGCUCCGGCUCGGGUACGCUCAUCCUGCAGAUCAUCUGGCUCGUCCGUCAAGUCCACUGCAUCUGGCUCGGUGGGAUCUUCUUGGUUCUCGCGCCUGGCUGGGUCGGCUCGGGUUGCGACUCUGGUGUUGCCGGUUGGUGUCGCGAACGUGAGUCUCGUCG